UGGGUAAUCUGCCCUCGAUUCUGGGAUAGCCCGGGGAAACCCGGAUUAAUACCGGAUAGCCUCUCGAGUCUUUCGGGCUCUUGAGAAAAGGUAGCUUCGGCCUCCGAUCGAGGAUGAGCCCGCGGCGGAUUAGCUUGUUGGUGAGGUAACGGCUCACCAAGGCGACGAUCCGUAGCUGGUCUGAGAGGACGAUCAGCCACACUGGGACUGAGACACGGCCCAGACUCCUACGGGAGCAG
rnacentral:rRNA from 1 species